rnacentral:rRNA from 1 species
GAUGAACGCUGGCGGCGUGCCUAAUACAUGCAAGUCGAACGGAGACAUUGUAGCAAUACGAUGUUCUUAGUGGCGAACGGGUGAGUAACGCGUUGGUGACCUGCCCCAAAGAGGGGGAUAACAGUCCGAAAGGACUGCUAAUACCCCAUGUGGUCUCAGGGAUUAGAUGCUCUGAGUCUAAAGGAGUAAUCCACUUUGGGAGGGACCUGCGUCCCAUCAGCUAGUUGGUAGGGUAACGGCCUACCAAGGCUUCGACGGGUAGGGGACCUGAGAGGGUGGCCCCCCACAAUGGAACUGAAACACGGUCCAUACACCUACGGGUGGCAGCAGUAGGGAAUAUUGGUAAUGGGCGAAAGCCCGAACCAGCAACGCCGCGUGUGCGAUGAAGGCCUUCGGGUCGUAAAGCACUUUUUGAGAAGAUGAUGAAGGACAGUACUCUCAGAAUAAGUCUCGGCUAACUACGUGCCAGCAGCCGCAGUAAGAC